rnacentral:rRNA from 2 species
UUAGUGGCGAACGGGUGAGUAACACGUGGGCAAUCUGCCCUUCACUCUGGGACAAGCCCUGGAAACGGGGUCUAAUACCGGAUACGACCACUGAGGGCAUCUUCAGUGGUGGAAAGCUCCGGCGGUGAAGGAUGAGCCCGCGGCCUAUCAGCUUGUUGGUGGGGUAAUGGCCUACCAAGGCGACGACGGGUAGCCGGCCUGAGAGGGCGACCGGCCACACUGGGACUGAGACACGGCCCAGACUCCUACGGGAGGCAGCAGUGGGGAAUAUUGCACAAUGGGCGAAAGCCUGAUGCAGCGACGCCGCGUGAGGGAUGACGGCCUUCGGGUUGUAAACCUCUUUCAGCAGGGAAGAAGCGAAAGUGACGGUACCUGCAGAAGAAGCGCCGGCUAACUACGUGCCAGCAGCCGCGGUAAUACGUAGGGCGCAAGCGUUGUCCGGAAUUAUUGGGCGUAAAGAGCUCGUAGGCGGCUUGUCACGUCGGAUGUGAAAGCCCGGGGCUUAACCCCGGGUCUGCAUUCGAUACGGGCAGGCUAGAGUGUGGUAGGGGAGAUCGGAAUUCCUGGUGUAGCGGUGAAAUGCGCAGAUAUCAGGAGGAACACCGGUGGCGAAGGCGGAUCUCUGGGCCAUUACUGACGCUGAGGAGCGAAAGCGUGGGGAGCGAACAGGAUUAGAUACCCUGGUAGUCCACGCCGUAAACGUUGGGAACUAGGUGUUGGCGACAUUCCACGUCGUCGGUGCCGCAGCUAACGCAU